UACGGAGGGGGCUAGCGUUGUUCGGAAUUACUGGGCGUAAAGCGCGCGUAGGCGGACCUGCAAGUCGGGGGUGAAAGCCCGAGGCUCAACCUCGGAACUGCCUUCGAUACUGCGGGUCUCGAGUCCGGGAGAGGUGAGUGGAAUUCCUAGUGUAGAGGUGAAAUUCGUAGAUAUUAGGAAGAACACCAGUGGCGAAGGCGGCUCACUGGCCCGGUACUGACGCUGAGGAGCGAAAAGCGUGGGGGAGCGAACAGG
rnacentral:rRNA from 1 species